rnacentral:rRNA from 1 species
ACCUAGCUAUGUCUACCCAUGUUUUUUUACGCACCUAAAGUUUCCUCGGCGGCUUUGUCCGCCAGUUGGACAACAAUCAAACCCUUGUAGUUGCAGUCAGCGUCAAAUAAACUUAAUAAUUAAAACUUUCAACAACGGAUCUCUUGGUUCUGGCAUCGAUGAAGAACGCAGCGAAAUGCGAUACGUAGUGUGAAUUGCAGAAUUCAGUGAAUCAUCGAAUCUUUGAACGCACAUUGCACCUCUCGGUAUUCCGGGAGGUAUGCCUGUUCGAGCGUCAUUUGUACCCUCAAGCUCUGCUUGGUGUUGGGUGUUUGUUCCGCCUCUGUGUGUGAACUCGCCUUAAAACAAUUGGCAGCCGGCGUACUUGUUUCGGAGCGCAGCACAUUUUUGCGCUUUAGACCAAUGUACAGCGGCAUCCAAGAAGCCUUCUUUAACGCUCUUGACCUCGGAUCAGGUAGGGAUACCCGCUGAACUUAAGCAUAUCAAUAAGCGGAGGAAAAGAAACCAACAGGGAUUGCCUUAGUAACGGCGAGUGAAGCGGCAACAGCUCAAAUUUGAAAUCUGGCCUCUUUGGGGUCCGAGUUGUAAUUUGCAGAGGGCGCUUUGGAGUUGGCAGCGGUCCAAGUUCCUUGGAACAGGACGUCACAGAGGGUGAGAAUCCCGUACGUGGUCGCUAGCCUUCGCCGUGUAAAGCCCCUUCGACGAGUCGAGUUGUUUGGGAAUGCAGCUCUAAAUGGGAGGUAAAUUUCUUCUAAAGCUAAAUACUGGCCAGAGACCGAUAGCGCACAAGUAGAGUGAUCGAAAGAUG